UACGGGGGGGGCAAGCGUUGUUCGGAAUUACUGGGCGUAAAGGGCUCGUAGGCGGCCAACUAAGUCGGAUGUGAAAUCCCCAGGCUUAACCUGGGAACUGCAUCCGAUACUGGAUGGCUUGAAUCCGGGAGAGGGAUGCGGAAUUCCAGGUGUAGCGGUGAAAUGCGUAGAUAUCUGGAGGAACACCGGUGGCGAAGGCGGCAUCCUGGACCGGCAUGACGCUGAGGAGCGAAAGCCAGGGGAGCAAACGGGGA
rnacentral:rRNA from 1 species